AGUUUGUUUUGUUUGCAAAUGAAGCGGUAAUCAACACAACUCGUGAGAACCGUUUCAGUUCAGAGCGAAGGCGCUCGUCUUCCGUCUCCGGACAGCCACAGGACUACACGACCGCAUCGAGAGACUGGAUUACAAACUUUCUUGCAAACCGUCCAGCCAGUCCUGGUUUCUAACUGAUUCUGGUCUGACAUUACCAUGUUGAGGAGAAGCUGUUUAAAAGUCUCCUGGAUUGUGGCACAAAGGAGUCCUGCUGCAGGUUCUCAAACCAGGUGAGAGAACUUGUUUGAAAAACUCUGAAACUCAUCUGACCAAAGUCUAUCAAAAGCUUUUGUUUUUGUCAUAUAAAUAACUUUGAA